UGAGUAGCCGCACUGGGAGUCAGGGAAAGGAGGGGUUAAGAGGAUGAUUUUUCCCUGGCAAAGCCGGGCAAGUCAGAUGCGUCCGAGACCCUAAGCUGAACCAAAGAGCUGUUUUCGAUUGUGCAGCAAAAGUCUCACUGUGUAGACCAGGCCGACCUCAAACUCACAGAGAUCCACCUGCUUCUGUCUCCUGGAUGUCAAGAUUGCUAGAGGAGCUGGACAGUGUUGAGAGAGGUGGUUCAGAGAGAAGUGCUGAGACAAACUGUCCUUCAGAUGCUGAAGUAAGAGCAGUCCAGAGAGUUCCAGGCCAACCUGGGCUUGAGUGUGAGACCCUGUCUCCGAAAACAAUAGAUAG